AUUGAACGCUGGCGGCAUGCCUAACAUAUGCAAGUCGAACGGUAACGCGGAGAGCUUGCUCUCUGGCGACGAGUGGCGGACGGGUGAGUAAUACUUAGGAAUCUGCCCAGUAGUGGGGGACAACUCGGGGAAACUCGAGCUAAUACCGCAUACGCACUACGGUGGAAAGUGGGGGAUCUUCGGACCUCACGCUAUUGGAUGAGCCUAAGUCGGAUUAGCUUGUUGGUAGGGUAAUGGCCUACCAAGGCGACGAUCCGUAGCUGGUCUGAGAGGACGAUCAGCCACACUGGGACUGAGACACGGCCCAGACUCCUACGGGAGGCAGCAGUGGGGAAUAUUGGACAAUGGGCGCAAGCCUGAUCCAGCAAUGCCGCGUGUGUGAAGAAGGCCUGCGGGUUGUAAAGCACUUUCAGUAGAGAAGAAAAGCUUACGGCUAAUACCCGUGAGUCUUGACGUAACCUACAGAAGAAGCACCGGCUAACUCCGUG
rnacentral:rRNA from 1 species